rfam:Streptomyces sp. DI166 genome assembly, contig: Ga0115233_1099
CUUCAACGAGCCCAAGUACAGCGGCUGUUCACGCUCCUGACCGUACGUCGCCAGCAGCGCCUGGGCCUC